UAUUAAAAAUUUCAUCUAUUUAUACUGUUAAAAAUUAACGUGGCUGGCAAAAUCACCAAACCGGUACAAGUGACGUGUUAUGUGUACCUCAUACUGACGUAUAAGGACUAAUUUUUAACAGUCAAAAUAAAUGAAAUUUUGAACA
rfam:Gossypium hirsutum cultivar TM-1 unplaced genomic scaffold scaffold1140.1, whole genome shotgun sequence